rnacentral:rRNA from 1 species
CGUGAGGAACCUGCCUUGGAGAGGGGGAUAACAACUCCAAAGGAGUGCUAAUACCGCAUGAUGCAGUUGGGUCGCAUGGCUCUGACUGCCAAAGAUUUAUCGCUCUGAGAUGGCCUCGCGUCUGAUUAGCUAGUAGGCGGGGUAACGGCCCACCUAGGCGACGAUCAGUAGCCGGACUGAGAGGUUGACCGGCCACAUUGGGACUGAGACACGGCCCAG